CAAGGAUACACACGGACAAAUUCCACCCCCCCGGGCCUCCCCCGUGCAUCCCCCCCGGCUCAUGCUGCCCCCAAACCCCCCCAAAUCCUUCUACUUCCUACGAAAUCGGCCCUGGAAUUACAGAGUGGGGGGUGGAGGAACACACGGGCUUGGUACAACACGAAACGAGCUCUGACUUUGGCUUGGGUUUCCCUCCUGGGUUUGGGGUUUUGAUGGUUUUAUUGGGUGGCUUUUUUUUUUUUUUGGUGGUUUUUUUUGGUAUUUUAUUUCCAUAUUUGAGGCAGCCCCCGGCUCCUCUUUGGAUGCUGAGUUUGUCCCCGUUCCCUCGGCUCUGAAAAUCCGAUUUUCGGGAUUGCGGGUGCUGAAAUCUCUUUCCCAUGGCAAUGAAAACCUGAGAGUGAGGCAGAGCUGUCCUGAGGAAAAGAAUUCCCAGCGGGAGAGGCUGGGCCGGGCUGGCUCACCCAGGAAAUUCAGUUUGGAUCUGGGCACCUCCUCCCAGGAACCCUCAGUUUGUCCUGGAGUUGCUUUUCCAAAAAAAACCAGAGCAAUGAGAACUACCUGAAGGCAACCAGUGAUGGAAUUCAUCCCAAAUCCAUCUGAAAUCCAUCUGAAAUUCAUGCCAAAUUCAUCCCAAAUUCACCACAGACCCAUCCCAAAUCUACCUCAAAUCCAUCCCAAAGUCAUGCCAAAUUAAUCUAAAAUCCAUCCCAAAGUCAUGCCAAAUUCAUUCCAAAUUCAUCCAAAAAUCCAUCCCAAAUCCAUCCCAAGUCAUGCCAAAUUCAUUCCAAAUUAAUUCCAAAUCAAUUCCAAAUUCAUGCCAAGUCCACCCCAAAUCCACCCCAAAUCCACCCCAUCGUGGGGCUCGGUCUGGCAGGAGCUGGGAGUUUCCAACCCCUGUUGCGAGUGGGGUAAAUCUGGGGCAAAUUUCCCUGGAUUUGGGUGCUGGGAGGAGUUUGGGGCCGGGAUUUGGGAUUUGGGAUCUGCAGCACUUCCAGCCGGGGGUGGCUCCUCCCGAGGGAUUUCGCUUUUCGUGGGGAUCCCCAAAUCCAGCCCGAGCUUCUCCAUCACGCAGCAGGGAGGGAAAUUUCCAGAAGAUUUGCGGGAUCUGGAAUCCCACGGAGGCAGCUCCAGUCCCUGGGAGCUCGGAGCUCUCCCGGGAGCGUCCCGGCCCCGCCGCAGCGGUUUUGGGGAGGGUUUUGGAGUCUUUAAGGCCAGAAAUGAGGCGGGACCGAAGGGCCGGGAUGGGAAUUCCCACCUGAAGGUGGAGGGGGGACAGGGCUGUCCCCAGGGGGGUCACAUGGAGCGCAGUUCCUAUUUACAGGUCUCUCCUCCAGGAGGGCCGGAAAAUCCCGUUCUGCCUUCGGGGAGGAAUUCCGGGAUGAAUCCGCAGCGGCCGCGCCUGGCCCGGGGCCGUGCCCGGCGGCCUCUGCCGCGGCCAAAGGGCUGGGGACAUCCCCGGGAGCUCGGUGACAGCCCAGGGGACAUCGCCGGGAGCUCGGUGACAGCCCAGGGGACACUCCCCAGCUCAGGGAACACUCCCCAGGCCGGGGGACACUCCCCAGGCCGAGCUGCUCCCCAGCUCGCCCAGCCGGGGCCGAAACGUCCCCAGACGCCCCUUGAGCGAUGUCCCCUCCCCGGGGAGGUGGCAGGAGGAGGUGUCGGGGUCACCCAAGGGGGAGGGGGACCCGCGGGGACAUUCCCGAGCCGCCGCUCACAGUGCUGGCACAGCAGGAGCCCUUUCAAGCAGGGAGGGGACAGCGGGGACAGUGCAACCGUGGCAGGGCGGCCUCGGGCCGGUCCCUGCAGCUCGGGGACAGGGCGGGAGGGAGCAGCGGAGCCCGGCGGUGUCCCCGCAGUGGGGCAGGCACUUGGUCAGCGCUUUCCACCUUCAGUGUCCCCGUGGGACGCUCGGUGUCCCCUCGGUGACCUCUCGGUGUCCCCCUGCAGCCCCCACGGGGGGGUCGUGGCGCCCCAAAAUCUGCUCCUCAGUGUCCCGGCUGCUCCCCGCAAAUCCCUGCGGCGCUGCGGGGAGGCCGCACCCCAAAUUUCACAGUGUAGGAAGCCGGGCCCCCUCCGCCAGCCCCUCCGAGCCCCCAAAUCCGGGGCCAGCGGCUCCGGGGCGCUCCAGCCCCACCCUCCCCGCGCUUUUGGGGGAAAGCAGCGGGAUUUGGGGGCGCCGGAGGGGAACGGGGCGGGGCAGGAGCAAGAGGAGCCCCAGGGAGAAGGGGCUGGAACGGGGGAGAGAAGAGGGCCGAGAGCACGGCGGUCGCUGCCGUGUCCGUCUGUCCGUCUGUCCGUCCAUCCCGCAGCCUCCCAGGGCUGGGAACGCUCCGGCCGCAGCCGGGAUUUGGGAUCGGGGUGGGGCUGAGCCCCCCACCGACACCGUCAGGGGCUGCCGGGCGGGGUCGGCGCGGGGAGCGGGCGGUACCGGAACCGGGAGCUCCAGC
rnacentral:lncRNA from 1 species